CAAAUUAGAGCUAUAGAGCGUUUUAGUUACAUUAAAAAGUUAAUUGUAAAAACAAUUUAAUUUGA
rnacentral:tRNA from 1 species